rnacentral:rRNA from 1 species
GGGGGCCCCGGCACCAANCAGCGAAGCGUGUUGGUUUAAUUCGAGGGCGACGCGAAAGACCCCUUUACCUGGGGCUUGGACAUGCAGAGGAACCAUUUCACCGAAAAUGAGUGCUUCCCGCAAGGGACCUCUGUGCAGGUGGUGCAUGGGCUGUCGUCAGCUCGUGCCGUGAGGUGUUGGGUUAAGUCCCGCAACGAGCGCAACCCCUGUCCUUAGUUGAAUUUUNUAGGGAGACUGCCGGGCGAAACCCGGAGGAAGGUGGGGAUGACGUCAAGUCCGCAUGCCCUUUAUGUCCAGGGCUACACACACGCUACAAUGGCCGGUACACGGGUUCCGACACGGCGACGUGAAGGCAAUCCCUUAAAGCCGGUCUCAGUUCGGAUUGCAGGCUGCAACUCGCCUGCAUGAAGUCGGAGUUGCUAGUAAACGCUGGUCAGCACACAGCGUUGAAUACGUUCCCGGGCCUUGCACUCACCGCCCGUCACAUCACCUGAAUCUGUUGCUCCCGAAGUCGCUGGCCGAACCCGUAAGGGACGGAGGCGCCGAAGGAGUGGCCGGUGAGGGGGGUGAAGUCGUAACAAGGUAGC